CAGUCGCCACGGUAAUACGUAGGUGGCAAGCGUUGUCCGGAAUUAUUGGGCGUAAAGGGCUCGCAGGCGGUUUCUUAAGUCUGAUGUGAAAGCCCCCGGCUCAACCGGGGAGGGUCAUUGGAAACUGGGAAACUUGAGUGCAGAAGAGGAGAGUGGAGUUCCACGUGUAGCGGUGAAAUGCGUAGAGAUGUGGAGGAACACCAGUGGCGAAGGCGACUCUCUGGUCUGUAACUGACGCUGAGGCGCGAAAGCGUGGGGAGCAAACCGGAUUAGAUACCCCGGUAGUCCCUGUCUCUUAUAC
rnacentral:rRNA from 1 species